rnacentral:rRNA from 1 species
GACGAACGCUGGCGGCGUGCCUAACACAUGCAAGUCGAACGGAAAGGCCCUGCUUUUGUGGGGUGCUCGAGUGGCGAACGGGUGAGUAACACGUGAGUAACCUGCCCUUGACUUUGGGAUAACUUCAGGAAACUGGGGCUAAUACCGGAUAGGAGCUCCUGCUGCAUGGUGGGGGUUGGAAAGUUUCGGCGGUUGGGGAUGGACUCGCGGCUUAUCAGCUUGUUGGUGGGGUAGUGGCUUACCAAGGCUUUGACGGGUAGCCGGCCUGAGAAGGUGACCGGCCACAUUGGGACUGAGAUACGGCCCAGACUCCUACGGGAGGCAGCAGUGGGGAAUAUUGCACAAUGGGCGGAAGCCUGAUGCAGCAACGCCGCGCGCGGGAUGACGGCCUUCGGGUUGUAAACCGCUUUCGCCUGUGACGAAGCGUGAGUGACGGUAAUGGGUAAAGAAGCACCGGCUAACUACGUGCCAGCAGCCGCGGUGAUACGUAGGGUGCGAGCGUUGUCCGGAUUUAUUGGGCGUAAAGGGCUCGUAGGUGGUUGAUCGCGUCGGAAGUGUAAUCUUGGGGCUUAACCCUGAGCGUGCUUUCGAUACGGGUUGACUUGAGGAAGGUAGGGGAGAAUGGGAUUCCUGGUGGAGCGGUGGAAUGCGCAGAUAUCAGGAGGAACACCAGUGGCGAAGGCGGUUCUCUGGGCCUUUCCUGACGCUGAGGAGCGAAAGCGUGGGGAGCGAACAGGCUUAGAUACCCUGGUAGUCCACGCUGUAAACGGUGGGUACUAGGUGUGGGGUCCAUUCCACGGGUUCCGUGCCGUAGCUAACGCUUUAAGUACCCCGCCUGGGGAGUACGGCCGCAAGGCUAAAACUCAAAGGAAUUGACGGGGCCCCGCACAAGCGGCGGAGCAUGCGGAUUAAUUCGAUGCAACGCGUAGAACCUUACCUGGGUUUGACAUGGAUCGGGAGCGCUCAGAGAUGGGUGUGCCUCUUUUGGGGUCGGUUCACAGGUGGUGCAUGGCUGUCGUCAGCUCGUGUCGUGAGAUGUUGGGUUAAGUCCCGCAACGAGCGCAACCCUUGUUCACUGUUGCCAGCACGUUAUGGUGGGGACUCAGUGGAGACCGCCGGGGUCAACUCGGAGGAAGGUGGGGAUGACGUCAAGUCAUCAUGCCCCUUAUGUCCAGGGCUUCACGCAUGCUACAACGGCUGGUACAGAGAGUGGCGAGCCUGUGAGGGUGAGCGAAUCUCGGAAAGCCGGUCUCAGUUCGGAUUGGGGUCUGCAACUCGACCUCAUGAAGUCGGAGUCGCUAGUAAUCGCAGAUCAGCAACGCUGCGGUGAAUACGUUCCCGGGGCU